rnacentral:rRNA from 1 species
AUGGCGAAUGAAACGGGAACAGCCCAUCGCGUAACUGCAGGUCAUCUUGGCCUCGCGGAAUGUCGCGUUUGGGAGAGUCUCAUCGGGAGCCGGACGGCCAGUCAAAGUCCAACUUGACAGUCGCCAUUGCCCAUAGAGGGUGAUAGGCCCGUAAGGCGGCCGUCUGUUUCCGCUGACUUUUCCCCAGAGUCGGGUUGCUUGGGAGUGCAGCCCAAAGUGCGACGUAAACUCGUCGUAAGGCUAAAUAUGACCCCGAGACCGAUAGCAAACAAGUACCGUGAGGGAAGAUUGAAAAGAACUUUGAAGAGAGAGUUCAAUAGUACGUGAAACUGUGUGGUGGUAAACGGAGGGGUUCUCGAAGUCUCUGCGGGGAACUCAACCUUGGUGUCAGGCAGUCAGGGUGUGUCCGAUCAGCAAUGACGGUGCUCCCUGUCCGGCCAGGCUCUCGGGUGCAUUUCCCCCGCAGUUUACGGCAGGAACCGUUUGGCGUGGACCGAAGGCCUCGGGUGAAGUUGUCGGUUCUGCUGGCAGCCCUGUGUGUCCUGGCUCCACGCUCGACGGGUACGUGAGAGGACUCGUAUAGCGAGCAACGCUCUGUUGCGGUUCU